UACAGAGGGGGCAAGCGUUAUUCGGAAUUAUUGGGCGUAAAGGGCGCGUAGGCGGCCUUGCAAGUGACGGGUGAAAUCCCUCGGCUUAACCGAGGAACUGCCUGUCAAACUGCGUGGCUUGAGACCAGGAGAGGUGAGUGGAAUUCCCAGUGUAGCGGUGAAAUGCGUAGAUAUUGGGAGGAACACCAGUGGCGAAGGCGGCUCACUGGACUGGUACUGACGCUGAUGCGCGAAAGCGUGGGGAGCAAACAGGG
rnacentral:rRNA from 1 species